AGUCGAGCGGGCGUAGCAAUACGUCAGCGGCAGACGGGUGAGUAACGCGUGGGAACGUACCUUUUGGUUCGGAACAACCCAGGGAAACUUGGGCUAAUACCGGAUAAGCCCUUACGGGGAAAGAUUUAUCGCCGAAAGAUCGGCCCGCGUCUGAUUAGCUAGUUGGUGAGGUAACGGCUCACCAAGGCGACGAUCAGUAGCUGGUCUGAGAGGAUGAUCAGCCACAUUGGGACUGAGACACGGCCCAAACUCCUACGGGAGGCAGCAGUGGGGAAUAUUGGACAAUGGGCGCAAGCCUGAUCCAGCCAUGCCGCGUGAGUGAUGAAGGCCCUAGGGUUGUAAAGCUCUUUUGUGCGGGAAGAUAAUGACGGUACCGCAAGAAUAAGCCCCGGCUAACUUCGUGCCAGCAGCCGCGGUAAUACGAAGGGGGCUAGCGUUGCUCGGAAUCACUGGGCGUAAAGGGUGCGUAGGCGGGUCUUUAAGUCAGGGGUGAAAUCCUGGAGCUCAACUCCAGAACUGCCUUUGAUACUGAAGAUCUUGAGUUCGGGAGAGGUGAGUGGAACUGCGAGUGUAGAGGUGAAAUUCGUAGAUAUUCGCAAGAACACCAGUGGCGAAGGCGGCUCACUGGCCCGAUACUGACGCUGAGGCACGAAAGCGUGGGGAGCAAACAGGAUUAGAUACCCUGGUAGUCCACGCCGUAAACGAUGAAGGCCAGCCGUUAGUGGGUUUACUCACUAGUGGCGCAGCUAACGCUUUAAGCAUUCCGCCGGGGGAGUACGGUCGCAAGAAUUAAACUCAAAGGAAUUGA
rnacentral:rRNA from 1 species